GUGGGCAAACAUCUCAUUCUCUGAAGGCUCCAGGAUUGCCUUGGAAAAACAUCCAUUUUGCACACUGAAUAUAUGGUGGGCACUCUUUUUCCUGCCUUCUCUCCCUGCCCAGAUCCCC